UGAUAUGAUGAUAUACAACAUUUAGAAGAAUAUGAAGUGCAAUUCAGUUGCUGCUUUUGUAUUUUUGUUUCCAGGUUUUUUUUUUAAGGAGAUUUUUUCUACAAAGUACUGUUAUUUCUGUAUGGACUAUAAUUCAAAAUGUGAAGAGAACGAUCGAUCUUUUACACCAGUCAGGAUGACGUGUGCUAAUUUUGUGGUAGGCAAAAGCGGAACACCUCUGCAGUACAUGCGCAAUCCAGCAGUACUUAAUAUGACGUCCAAAAAUUUUUACGUUGUUAGUUUACCUGCCAGACCAGCAAGAUUACUUUGUGUAUCUAUAACAUACAAGGUAAACCCUGAAGCCUGGGAAGAUUUGUUUUGGUUGCCAAACCUGCAUAAAUAUCAAAACGGUACUUUUAAAUUUCAAAGCUGCUUGUUUAAAGAAUAUGCGAAUUAUGAUAACGCUUGCCAUUACGCCACCACCGAAAUACUUAAUAAUACAUUCUUCAUGGACCACAAGUGUAUACAGUGCAAACAAUCAGACUGCAACGGCGUAGAUAUGCUACAUUUAAAGAGACUACCACUAUUUCUGUCCGUUCUACUACUUCUAAUAUUAUGGGCCGUACAUUAAAUUAACAUCAAACGCAAUCAACAAAAACUUGAAAGAGAAUGAAAAUUACCGAAGAUGUCACAGGAAAA